UGGUGGGGUCGUGCCUCUACAUCAUCGACAACUCGAGCGACGGGGAGCUGAUACUGAACCAGAUGGGCCUGGAGGGCGCGCGCCAGUUGAUCGGCAGCGACUCCUUGCUUUCCUCUCGCUCGACGUGGUGCACAGUAUAUACGGCGAGGAGGCGGGGGACUACCGCGAGUCCGCGACGCCUGCUUCUCUCGCAAGCACCCUCUGCUGCCAACACUGACCAAGCUGUCUAUCGAAUUCGAUGAGGAAGAUAGACUGGUGAGUACGUGAGCCCUUCUCCGCACAGCUCCUCGCAUCUGUUGCAAGGUUAUUCUGCUGUCAGGGUAGUUUUUUAGGUGGGCUUACGAAAUAUUUCACUAGAUCAUCAGGGAGCCAGUUCCAUAAUGAAAUUUGCGUAGGUUCGUGAAUUCCGUGUGCCUGUACCUAAGGCUGCAAGAUUAUUUGAUUAUGUAUUCUAUCCCUGAGGUAUUGACGUAAAAGUUAAGUUGCUGCAAUGAUUGACACCGAUAGAGCUUGGUGAGUGCUACUGACAAAAAACCGGGAAACCUUGAAUCUCUGUAGGACUAGCCAAGAUGGCCAAGUUUGCCACCAUUGAUACAUACUGUUAGUUGAAUGUCUCAAUCCACUCUGUGAAACACCAAGUUAAACAAACUUUACAAAAAGACUUAUAUUUUCGAACAGAGGUAGUACUGUUUUAGAUCAUCAUGAAGCCAAAUCUUCCUGGUUUCAUAAUGGAAUUUGGGUAGGGGUGCGAAUUCUAUGUGCAUGUACCUAAGGCUGCAACAUCAUUUUGGUCAUGAAUUUUAUCCUUGAGCUAUUGAUGUAAGUUAAGGUGCUGCAAUUGUUGACACCGAUAAAGCUUGCUGAGUUCUAAUGACAAAAAACUGGGAAAGCUUGAACUCUGUAGGACUGGCAAAGAUGGCCAAGUUUGCCACCAUUGAACAUACUGGUUCAAUUGAAUGUCUGAAUGUGUCACUUUGUGAAAGACCCAAUUAAAUCCAUUUAAUAUACCAAGCAAGCACGUGGAACACUUUCUAAGAUUUCUCAAGGUUGUGAAGGCUGCUAACUAGCAAUAUUCAGGUGCCACUUUAAAGUGGCAAGUUGAAUUAAUGUGGCGAUGACAUGUCUGCACUUUGGAUGGUUUAAUUCCUGUUGGUUCUCAUGUACUCAAUUCUAUGCUGCUUAGCGAUUUGGGCUAACAUGUUUUUGUUCCAGACGCUUUGGUUGUCGGCUGUCUUAGUACUCGCUUGGGUGGACCUAGCUGAAAUAUAAUGGAGCGGUGUUGGGCCAUCGUGGGCACCGCUUUCUCUCUCCAUGUGGCCUCUCUCUAGAGAAAUCCCUGUCCAUCUCCCCCACCCUUCCGAGCCAAAUGCCCAAAAACCAGUACAUGUAAACCAAGCAAGAGCUGGAGGCGUCGACAGCCAGCAAGGAGGAUUUCUCCAUUAAGAGGAUGGCCAAGAACGAAUCCAAACCUCAGGGGAUCCCGCCCUCCCAGGGUGGCAAGUAUGUCGGUUUUGGAUCCUCCCGCCACCCUCGGCCAAUAGGAACAAUGGGGCUUCCCAGGGUGAUGUCAACCACGUCGUCUCCCAGAGUCGCCUGAUUUGAUGACUUCCCAUGGCAAGAUGAAGGUAGAAGUUGGCAUUUGCAAAUACACUGUAAGAUGGAAAGUACAAGAAAUAUGUGAAAAGAUGCCAAUGAUAUUCUAAUACACAGGUUAGGCACUCAUAAUGUAUAUUCAUGUGGUUUAUUAUGUCAAUAAAAAAUACAUGAAACCACAUGUGCUCCUGAGAAGAAUCAGUGUCGUUGUAUCUUUGACACUAUUGGUACUUUUGGUAGAAAAGAGAUGUGCAAACGGCAUACCUGUUUCUACUUAUUGUGUUGCCUUUGCUCAAGUUCCUUCUCUAUAUAGGUUGUGUUAUGCCUUUCUGUUUAGGACGUGAGUAAUUUAAAAUAUUAAAUCUUUCUAUGAAUAUUGGAGAAGUGCAGUGUGAAUUGUUUGAUUGCAGUGCAUUCCUAUUCGGUUUGUUGCCUUUGCCUAGGUUCCUUCUCUACAUGAGUAAUUUAUUAACUUGGAUUGUUGAACUUUGCAGUCUUUGGGUUCCCAGGAACCUUAUCAGUUGUAUAUACUUGAUUGGGCACAUAAAUGUUAUGACUGUUUGCAUUACCAAUUUCCUCCCGAACUUAAUAAGUAACCAUUUCUACACUACACAAGCUGUACCUUCUAACAAUUUAGGUUGAUACAUGUAUGCACUAACAGCCCACCUACGAGAUAGAUUUACAGAAUUAGAUAUGAACUAUGUAAAAUAAGUUUGUUAUCCAAUUAAUUAAUUCUUAUCCGUGUAUGGAUAUAGCAUUUCUGAAAAUUCCUCUCAAACUGAAUAAAUAACCAUUUCUAGAAUACGUGAACUAACUGCAACUUCUAAAUAUUUGGGUAGUUUAGGUUGAUACAUGUACACACUAACUCCCGAGCUACUAUAUUUACAGAGACUAUAUAUGAGCUAUACAAAACAAGUUUGUUAUGAAGCUUCCAGUUCAGUAAGUUUACAGAUUUAGACCUUGUUGUUUUGUUGUGCUAACAAGACACGUAAAUACUGAAUUUUUUUAUGCCCAUAUAAGUAUCCAGAGCUAACCUGUUACUUAUGCUUAAAAUGGGUACUUGCACUGUUCCGCCAUCACAAAAGAUGCACGCUUCUUAUAGGUAGAGAAUCAUGAAUGCAUGCGAGCUGUAAGUGGUAUGGCUUCAGAACUUUCAUUUUUCAGUAACUUUCCAUUUUGUGGGUUUCAUCAGAUAGUUAGAAUUCCUUGAUUGCAGUAGCAGACCAUCUAUUACACCUGAUCAAAUAGCCUGCUCUGCAUGCUUCUUUGAUUCCUUCUCCUGGCUAUUAAACUCUUAUUUUAUAACCUGUCAUGGUUUUUGUUCUAACAGUGCUUAGGAACAUUUUAAUCUGAACUAUUCUGCCCUUUCUCUAGGAGAUUGCAAUGGGUCAUCAAGACUAUGGAGGAUGACAACACAAGCAAUUCAGGAAACAACACUCCGUAUUCAUUGCAAUUCUAUCUUCUUGGAAGAAGUUAUCUUGCAAGCUGAACCAACUAAGAAAAGGUGACUGAGACAUACUGUCGGCCGGCCUUGCCAUUGCCGUCAUUAGAUACCAUUUGCACGUGUGUGUCAUGCGCUGGCAUUGGUGAGAUUUCUUGGUCUUCAGUUUUUCUACCCCCAUUUGUAAUUACUCUACAACUAAGACUAAGCAGCUUUUCUAUCUGGACAUUGGUGCAUAAAUUCCUCGGGUAAAUGAAUCUGAAAUAGCAGCUUAGUCGUAGUUGUAGAUGCUAGCGAGGGUGUUACUACACCAUGGUUAUACAUCACUAUACUGAAGGUAGGUAGAGAUGUUUAGGGUGUCCCUUUCGCUGAUGAAUAUUAGUCAAUAGGUAUUAGAACUCGAUCAAUUACAUGAGAAGUUUUUGUGUUACUUUUUUGUGGAGAGUGUUGAUAGCUGGAGAUUGUUGAAACAGUUUGUUUAUUCGAAUCAGAUGCUGAAGAUUUUCAUUGUAAAUUCUACUGGUUGUUUGAUUGAAUUAAGUUAUUUAAAUUUA